rnacentral:rRNA from 1 species
GACGAACGCUGGCGGCAUGCCUAACACAUGCAAGUCGAACGGAGAAAUUACUUCAGUAAUUUCUUAGUGGCGAACGGGUGAGUAACGCGUAGGCAACCUGCCUUUUCGAUGGGGACAACAUUCCGAAAGGAGUGCUAAUACCGAAUGUGCAGCUUUAACCGCCUGGUUGAAGUUGGACAGAUGGCCUCUACAUGUAAGCUAUCGCUAAAAUAUGGGCCUGCGUCUGAUUAGCUAGUGGGUAGUGUAAUGGACUACCAAGGCGAUGAUCAGUAGCCGGUCUGAGAGGAUGAACGGCCACAUUGGGACUGAGACACGGCCCAAACUCCUACGGGAGGCAGCAGUGGGGAAUCUUCCGCAAUGGACGAAAGUCUGACGGAGCAAUGCCGCGUGAGUGAUGAAGGAUUUCGGUCUGUAAAACUCUGUUGUUUAUGACGAAUGUGCAGUGUGUGAAUAAUGCAUUGUAAUGACGGUAGUAAACGAGGAAGCCACGGCUAACUACGUGCCAGCCGCCGCCGUAACA